AUGGCGCUCGCUCCCAGGUCGUCCCUGCGCUCCCUGGUGUUGCUCAUGUCGCACGGGAGGCCACGGCUGAGCUCUUUCUUCUCCUUCACCACCGCCCCAGGAGCCGAUGCUCCUCCGGCCGUCCAGCCCCCAGGUCCUUCAUGCCACAAGCUCCCUGUCGAGGAAGAGUUUGUUCUUAACCCAACUCCUGGUUAUGGUUCAUGUAGCACACCUGACAAGCCUCCCUCCGGCGCCUCCGAGGAUGUGAAACAACGAGAUGUUGAUCCACCACCUCCCGCGCGCGAAGGUGUUGGACACCGAGUUGUCGAUCCACCACGCGGGGGCAGGGGGCGUCGCGCGCCCGACGAGCCAGAGCAGUGCGCCCAGGAGCAUCCCAAGUACCCAGUUCCUGACAAUUCAAGUGACAAGGUCUGCUCCUCCGCUACUCCGCCGCCGGCUCCAGGACCUUGCACCACGGCUGCCCCCGACGUCCAGCCUCCAGUCACCCCAGCUCCGCCAAAUCGUUCAGGCCACAAGCUCCCUGAUCACGAAGAGUCUGUUUUCAACCCACUUCCUGAUCCACCAUCAGGUCACAGGCUUAGCCCUGUAAUCGAAGAGCCUGCCCGGUGCACCCUGGACAACCCCAAAUACCCAACUCCUGAUCGUGGUUCAUGUAGCCCAUCUGAAGGUGCAUCUGGGGACUUGUUGGAAGAUCCUCUGCAUCGGGUGCCUGAUCCACCACGUAAGCCGUAA
rnacentral:rRNA from 1 species